rnacentral:rRNA from 1 species
GUGGGGAAUAUUGGACAAUGGGCGAAAGCCUGAUCCAGCCAUGCCGCGUGUGUGAAGAAGGUCUUCGGAUUGUAAAGCACUUUAAGUUGGGAGGAAGGGCAGUAAGUUAAUACCUUGCUGUUUUGACGUUACCGACAGAAUAAGCACCGGCUAACUUCGUGCCAGCAGCCGCGGUAAUACGAAGGGUGCAAGCGUUAAUCGGAAUUACUGGGCGUAAAGCGCGCGUAGGUGGUUUUGUAAGUUGGAGAUGAAAUCCCCGGGCUCAACCUGGGAACUGCAUCCAAAACUGCAUGACUAGAGUACGGUAGAGGGUAGUGGAAUUUCCUGUGUAGCGGUGAAAUGCGUAGAUAUAGGAAGGAACACCAGUGGCGAAGGCGACUACCUGGACUGAUACUGACACUGAGGUGCGAAAGCGUGGGGAGCAAACAGGAUUAGAAACCCCAGUAGUCC